AUUGAACGCUGGCGGCAUGCCUUACACAUGCAAGUCGAACGGCAGCAUGGAGAGCUUGCUCUCUGAUGGCGAGUGGCGAACGGGUGAGUAAUGCAUCGGAACGUACCGUGUAAUGGGGGAUAACGUAGCGAAAGUUACGCUAAUACCGCAUACGACCUGAGGGUGAAAGCAGGGGAUCGCAAGACCUUGCGUUAUACGAGCGGCCGAUGUCAGAUUAGCUAGUUGGUGAGGUAAAGGCUCACCAAGGCGACGAUCUGUAGCGGGUCUGAGAGGAUGAGCCGCCACACUGGGACUGAGACACGGCCCAGACUCCUACGGGAGGCAGCAGUGGGGAAUUUUGGACAAUGGGGGCAACCCUGAUCCAGCCAUGCCGCGUGAGUGAAGAAGGCCUUCGGGUUGUAAAGCUCUUUCGGCCGGGAAGAAAUCGCACAGGCUAAUACUCUGUGUGGAUGACGGUACCGGCAUAAGAAGCACCGGCUAACUCUGUGCCAGCAGCCGCAGUAAAAC
rnacentral:rRNA from 1 species